rnacentral:tRNA from 1 species
GGUGGGGUGGCUGAGCGGACGAAAGCGCGGCACUGGAGAUGCCGUAGGGUAGCAAUACCCUCCUGGGUUCGAAUCCCAGCCCCACCGCCA